UAGCAGCUGCUAUAGAACAGGAUUUUAUCCCAUAUCUAGAGAAGGUUCUUGAAAUGAGGAAAGGCUUUAUUGUGCUUGGCAAGGAUGAUGAUUUUUGUGCAUGAGCUAGGACUAGCAACAGCAGUUGGCAGAACCAGGAUGGAAGUCAUAUUGCCUCCUUUUAUUGAAGCUGCUAUUUCAGGUUUUGGAUUGGAUUAUAGCGAGCUAAUGUAGUACGUUCAUAUAUUGGUCACUUGUGGAUUGCAGAUUUAAGAAUAUGAAUUCUAUUGAGAUUGAGGCAGCCUAAUAAGUGGAAGAAAAUAUUAGAAAUUGCAUGGCAGCCAGAGUGAGGUAUGUUUUUCAUGUCCAACUUUCAAUUUAGUAUGUUCUCAUUUUGACUGUAGUUGGUAAUUGUACGGCCAUAUAGUCAUAUCUCUACUAUUAAAGGGGAUUAGGUAUGCCAUUUCGUUCGUUCAUAUCGUUACCUCAUCA